CAACGUCGUCAUGGGGAUCCCGGUCGCGGAGCCGCGCCCUUGUGCCCUCUUGUUCUCCUCCUCCUCGAAACUCACCUACAACGAACACAACAUGAUCAUUACACAUAUUACCGACUACCGUCGAUCGUUAAGGAGUUCCCUGCCGGCUUUGCGGAGACAUCGUUCGACAAAUCGAUCAGCAGGUUCUUCUGGGUCUCCUUGGCCGAGCGUCGUUGUGAAUGCUGCUUCCUCUUCUGCGGAUAAUCAGCGUCAACCUUGGAAUCGGUAACGGCCUCGUCGUCGCAACCUGAAAAUCGAUUCGAUUUUACGUAUUUUUAGAAGUAAAAUCAACUACACUUAAGUCCUAUCACGGCCCCGCAAUGAAACGGCACGAACAAAUGGA